AGGCAGGGCAGGAGAUUGAACAGAGGAAGCGGGGUCAACAGAGGAAGUGAGGGCAUGGUAUUUCUUCUGGCUCCCUCCCUAUGGGAUCACCUUGGUCUCACUUUGUUCCUCAACCGAAGAUCACUGUUUCCAUCAAGGUCGCAUUCUUUAUAGGAUUUUCUCCUGGGUUUCGGUAACUAGUAACUACUGUUAGUAGUCCUGGGGUGCUGAGCUACCUGUUGUGGUUCCCCUCGAGCCUGUGCACACCUUUGUAAAUAGUCCGUUUAUUAAACCUUCCUCAAGUUGUCUUAACAUCAGUGUGCUGUCUGUUUCUUUUUGGGACCCACACUGAUAGAAUAAUUGGUCACUGCAAGUGGCUCCAGGAAACUAACUUUCAAAACUGGGUUAACAUUAAUUUUAAAAAAAAACUGGCUAUGUUAAUAUCAGAUAAAUUAGACUUUGAAGUAAAAUACUAGAGACUAUAAGGGACAUUACAUGAUGAUAAAAGGGUCAAUCCACCAAGAAGAUAGAGCAAAUCUAAAUGUGUAUACACCAAGCAACAAAGCUUCAAAAUACAUGAAGCAAAAACUGAUAGAGCUAAAAGGAGAAAUAGGCAGAUCCCAGUUACACUUAGGGACUUCAACACCUCACGCUCACCAAUUGAUAGAACUGCUAGAGAAAAUCAGCAAGGAUACAGAAGAACUGAACAACACCAUCAAAUCAGUAGGAUCGAAUUGACUUUUAUAAAACACUCAGCAACAGCAGGAUACACAUUCUUUUCAUGUGCCCGUGGAGCAUACUACCACAUAGACCAUAGGGCUAUAAAACAAACCUUGACACAUUUCAAAGAAUUUCAACCAUACAGAAUACGUUCUCUUGAUUAUAAUGGAAUCAAACUAGAAAUCAACGACAGAAUGACAAUAGGAAACCCGCCAAACACUUGGAAAUUAAACAGCAUAUUUAUAAAUAAUCCAUGGGUCAAAGAAGUCUCAAAAGAAAAAUACAUAGAAAUGAGUGAAAAUGAAAACAUCAACAUCUGUAAGAUACAGCUAAUGAAACACUGAAAGGGAAAUUUAUAUAGCACUGUGUACUUAUAUUAUAAAAGAUCUCAAAUCAGUAAGUUCGUAGCUCAAGCAACUUGAAAAAGAAUAACAAACUAAACCCAAAGCAAUCAGAGGGAAGGAAAUGAUAAAGAGCAGAAAUGAAUGAAACUGAAAAGAGGAAAAUGAGAGGGCAAAGUUAAUGAAACAUAAAGCUAGUCCCUCAAAAAAUAAAGUUGAUAAACCUCUAGCAAGACUAACAGAAGACACAAACUACUAAUAUCAGGAAUGAAACAAGGAAACAUUACAACAGAUCCUGCAGUCAUUAAAAGAAUAAAAAAGGAGUACUAUGAAGAACUCUAAGCUCAAUUCAACAACUUAGAAGAAAUGGACAAAAUCCUUGAAAAUCACAAACCACCAAAACUAAGACAAAAUGAAGUAGAGAACCUGAGUAAUCCUAAAAUUGAAUUUGUGAUUAUAAAAUACUGUCAAAAAUGAUAUCUCCAAGCCCAGAUGGUUUCACUGGAGAAUUUUAUGAAACAUUCAAAGAGUUGAUCUAUACAGUCUUUUCCAGAAAAAAGAAGAGUGAACACUUGACUCGUUAUGAGGGAUUUAUUCCUGCUGUACAAGGCUGUGUCAAUAUUAGAAUAUCAAUGUA
ensembl:lncRNA